CUAGGAAAGAAGACAGCAAAGGAGCUAAGCUAUGGAAUUAUGGAAUCUCCCUUUCGAAUCUUGGGGAUGCGUCUUCAUCUCAAUUCAUUCUCCGUUGAUCAUUCCUAUUUUUCAUUUUAAGCCUCCAUUUUCCUUUCCUUUUCCUUACACUUUUCCUCUUUGGUUUUUCAAGUCAUUAGUCAUCCAUCUAAACAUCAACAUGAUCACAUGAAAUCAAAAACCCCUUUACCCUUUUCUCUUCCUACCUCUCAUGUCCCAAUCAUUUUCUCAAUCACCCAAGAAUCGAAUAUUGUGAGUUUUCUUCCUGGGUUUUGAUGUUUCUUUCUUUCUUUGUCAUCUUUCUAAAUUAUCUCCAUGCUUAUCAGCAUCAAAAUGACAACUUUGGAUUUGAUGUUAACAUCCCAUUUCCUUUUCGCUUUUUGUUUAGCAGCUUUAGCUUCAUAUAAGAAAUAUUGGCAUUUUUUUAAAAGAAAAUAAAAAUCUGUGACGCCAGGACCUUGAUUGAGGCUUAGCAUGGGAUUUGGGAAAAGCCUUCAACGGUGGGAGUUACUGCAUAGAUGAUGGUGUUUCUGGGUCUUGUGUGGAUAGCUUUUCUUGUUGGGUUAGUCAUCGGCUGGGCAUGGAAGCCCAAGUGGGUAACCAUUAGAGGAGACAAAUUAACUUUUCAUGUAUCAAAAUUCUUGGAUUUGUCGUUGCCUUCAUCUCCACUAAAGGGUUUUGCUUCGGCUUCAUGUUCUAACUCAUUCAUGAUCAGUUCAAAAAAGGAUGAACCAUGUCAUGUUGAUAAUCCUGCAGACAAAAAAUCAACCUCACUAUCCAUUUCAGAAUAUGAAAAUUGCAGCCCAUCACAGCAGAAUGAAGAACAAUCUAAUGUUGUCAAUCUUGUGACGGAGAAGGAUUUAGAACAUUUAUGCCAGCUUAUUGAGAUGAAAGAUGGAGGUCCUACAUGGAUACAAAUGAUGGAUUGCUCCACCCCUGGUAUGAGGUGUCAAGCAUGGAGGAGAGAACCCAAGGUAAAGUUUUUUUUCCCCCCUUUUGUUUAAAAGGUAGCUGAAUGAUGAAUCUAAAUUAAGUGGAAUUAUUCAUCUUCAGAUUGUGUUUGAGUGGAAUUCUGGAUAUAACAAUCAUUCAUAGAACUGGAUGCUAGUUUUGAGUUUUGAUAUAUGCCAUUUUGUGAAGUAUAUAUUUUUUUCCUACUGAUUAUUAGACUGGUCCCCCUCAAUAUCAAACUAGAACCGUGUUUGAGAAUGCAACACCAGAGAUGGUGCGAGACUUCUUCUGGGAUGAUGAAUUUCGGGCAACUUGGGAUGACAUGCUUGCAUAUUCUGCUAUGAUAGAUGAGUGUCUCACUACUGGGACUAUGAUUGUGCAAUGGAUUAGAAAAGUAGGGAUUUCCAUUCCAUCUUCUCUAAUUAAUUAAUAGCUUGUCUUUAGUUUGUGUUCUCACCUGCUUCCAAUACUUUGCCGCAGUUUCCAUUAUUCUGCAGUGACAGAGAAUACAUAAUAGGCCGACGAAUAUGGGAAUCGGGUGGAUCUUAUUACUGUGUGACAAAGGGAGUACCCUGUUCAUCCGUACCAAGGCGAGCUAAACCCAGACGUGUCGAUCUCUACUACUCAAGUUGGUGUAUUCGAGCAGUGGAAUCAAGAAUGGGGGAUGGCCGUUUGAUUGCCUGUGAGGUAUUACUUUUACAUCACGAAGAAAUGGGUAUACCAUGGGAAAUUGCAAAGCUUGGAGUAAAGCAUGGGAUGUGGGGAACUGUCAAAAAGUUUGAGCCUGGCUUAAGGGCGUACCAGAAAGCAAGAGCAUCUGGUGUUCCACUUUCUCGGCCUGCAUUCAUGGCUCAAAUCACUACCAAAAUAAAUUCAGGGCUCCCAAGAUCCCUGGCAGUCAAUGAGAAUUCAUCAGAGACAGAGGUAGCAGCAGCAGCAACUUCAUCCAACAGAUCUUUGGGCAGGAAGAUACCAAAGUGGUUAAUUUUUGGUGGGGUCUUUGUCCUUGCUUGCAGCAUUGAUAGGGGACUCUUAACCAAGGCAUUUAUAUUUGGCGUAGCUAGAAAGUUUGCAAAUAUAGGGAAAAGAUUGUAAAUUAAGUGUUGAAGACUACGGUUUUUUUCAUCUUUUCAAACACUUAAGGGAUGCUCUUUUUUUUCUUCAGGUGAUGUCUCUGUCAGAUGAGAAUACAUUGAACCAAUUCUUGUUAGAUUCUAUAACAAAAGAGUACGGCCUGCCAUGGUCUGGUUCUGGGUUAGAAUCAGAACCAGACUGGUGAUUCGGCUUCUGGGGCCAAGGGACCAGGUUGGCCCUUGCAAUUAUAGACUUGUAGUCAUGGUGUAUCCUCCAUUGAU
rnacentral:misc_RNA from 1 species